AUUAUUCGUAUGAUCUUUAUUACAUUGUAGAUUUUAGAAAAAUUUUAUCAGAAUGGGUUACGGUAGGCUUCUCAGCAGCCACCACCAUAUAUUUGUUUGAGGAGCAUGAGAUACUCGCUUGGGAGUUUAACUCAACCUUACAAUCUGAUGAAAAUUUAGCCAACCAAACUGGUACAAAAGGGGUCCGGCCCACCGCAGCCAUCUCAAGAAAAAGAGAGAACAAAGUAUGGAU
rnacentral:misc_RNA from 1 species